AUUCAGUCUGGGGCGUAGGUCGUGCAGAUCGGAAAUCCGGUAGGGCUUCCCCGAGCGGGGGCCGUCCGGUCGCACGCAGCGCCUGCGCACCCGACGCAUUUGUCUCUCGUCCGAAGGACGCCGCAGCCGGCUGGGUAGUGCAAGCGCGACGACCUGAGGGGCGGAAAAUGGCAGGUGGCCGCUGGCGUGCCUCGUGCGCGUCGGCGGUUGUUAGCCGUUCCGUCAGUGGUCCGUCACCCGGCCGAGGUGUCGCGAGGCCCUUCGGGGCCUCAUCGUCUCCUCCUCAGUGUCGCGGGUCAGAGUGUUGCAGGUGGAAUCCGUCGUCCCGUUCGCACCCCUCCGGGGUGGUCGGGCGAACGGAGGCCUCCGUUGGUGGCGCCGGACCCGUAGGAGGCUGGAGGCUUGCGGCGAGUAGGUCGGUCACCCACCCGACCCGGUCUUGAAACACGGACCAAGGAGUCUAACAUGUGCGCGAGUCAAUGGGUCUUGAAUAGGCCCAGGGGCGCAAUGAAAGCAAAGGACGGCCUCAGCGCCGUCCGAGUUGGGAUCCCCGUCUUCGGGCGGGGCGCACCAACGACCCGUCCUAUUCGGCUCGCCGAUUGGGCGGAGUUUGAGCGUACACGUUGGGACCCGAAAGAUGGUGAACUAUGCCCGGACAGGACGAGGCCAGAGGAAACUCUGGUGGAGGUCCGCAGCGGUUCUGACGUGCAAAU
rnacentral:rRNA from 1 species